GAUGAACGCUGGCGGCGUGCCUAUACAUGCAAGUCGAGCGAACAGACGAGGAGCUUGCUCCUCUGACGUUAGCGGCGGACGGGUGAGUAACACGUGGAUAACCUACCUAUAAGACUGGGAUAACUUCGGGAAACCGGAGCUAAUACCGGAUAAUAUAUUGAACCGCAUGGUUCAAUAGUGAAAGACGGUUUUGCUGUCACUUAUAGAUGGAUCCGCGCCGCAUUAGCUAGUUGGUAAGGUAACGGCUUACCAAGGCAACGAUGCGUAGCCGACCUGAGAGGGUGAUCGGCCACACUGAGACUGAGACACGGUACAGACUCCUACGGGAGGCAGCAGUAGGGAAUCUUCCGCAAUGGACGAAAGCCUGACGGAGCAACGCCGCGUGAGUGAUGAAGGUCUUCGGAUCGUAAAACUCUGUUAUUAGGGAAGAACAAAUGUGUAAGUAACUAUGCACGUCUUGACGGUACCUAAUCAGAAAGCCACGGCUAACUACGUG
rnacentral:rRNA from 1 species